ACCCCUCUCCGCACCGAGGACUGGCGCCCCCCUUCCUCUCCGCGGGAGCCGGCUGGGGCGCCCCGCCUGACCCCCCCCCCCCCGGGGGUCUGCAUGGAGCGCUGAGGUGCACGUCCUGGCCCUCGUCUGCUCCCCCCACCCCCCAGACCCUGCCUCGGAAGUGGGGGAGCCUAGGGGGGUGAGAGCUCAGCCGGCCUCGGGGCAACACCCAUAAAGACCAGCGUCCUUAUGCACCCAGGGGUUGAGAGCCCCAACUCUGGAGCCUGUCCGCCUGGGUCUCCAUAUCCGCCAUUCACCGCGGUGUGAUCUUCAGAUUCCAGUUUCCUCAUCUGUAACAGAGAUGUAAGGCUUGCAUGACAACCUAGGUAAAGCCCUUAAACGGGGCCGCCCCUGGUAAGCACCAUUUGAGUAUGAGUUCAUAAUUGGUGACACUAUUUGCUGGGCUCUUGUUCUGUACCAGGCAGGGUGCUAAGCCUUGAGCAGAAGUCGGCUUGGUUAACCCUCUCAAGCAGAAGUUCAGUCAUCCCCCCAUUGUAUGGAUGAGGAGGUUGAGGCACAGAGAAACUAAGUCGCAUGGCCAGCGUCAUCCCGGGAAGUGACGGAGCCUGGAUUCCAACUAAGGCACAGGCUCUCGGCCUCUGUACAGCCCGAAUCACCCUGAGACCCAGGGGGACCUCUGAUUUGGGAGAAGGGAAGACAACAGAAGGAUUUAUCCAGACACAGUGCUUGAACCAGAAGCUUCUGCCUGGAACCCCAUCCCCACCUCCCUCUUCCAGUCCUUCCCCUUCCUGCCUCCACUAUUCUGAGAUAGCAAGUCAUAACCAAGGGCAACCACAGAGUGCUCCUGAAGUCUCAGAAGGCUUAGUGAGACGCCAUCCCUGCCUGGCUGGAUCCAAAAAACAUGUAAGUGUAAUAAUCUUUGUCUUAGCGAACCAAAUACAUGGAAAUUGUAUUAUUACAAAAUUUCUAUUUGGAGGUGGUAAUGUACUUGGCCAACUACGUCUUCAUUUUAGCAACAACAACAUUACUUUGAUGUAAUAAAGUGCUUUGCAGGCUACAAAGUACAUCCACAAAAUUAAAAUUUUAUUCCACGAGUCUCUCAACAGCCCUGUAGGCUAGCUGGGGCAAAAAUUAUUAAACCCAUUUUUCUUAUAAGGAAACUGAGUUCAGAGAUUUGCUGCAUGUUAAUUUGCAAACCUUGCCUAUGUUCGAUUUAAAAUGUGCCUUAAUACACAAGAAUCUCACUGAUACUUAACUUUUCUGGAGUAUCUCACAUGCAUAAAGGAAACAGGUAUAGAGCAUACUCCCUCAGCAUAAAAGACUGGCAUGAUUUUUACGUGAGAUAUUUAUGUAAAAUUACAUGAAUAAAGCAAGCUUGCAGCACA
rnacentral:lncRNA from 1 species